CUUGAUUGACUGUCAUCCAUAAGUAGCCAAAAUAUCACCAUCACUGCCAUCUUUUUCUCUUCCUUAUCCCAAAUGACCACCCUCAUCAUCGCCUAUCGAUUUGCCAUUGGCAAGCCUCCAUUUCAAGAAGAUCCAACCCCUUCCCUCCUCUCCAUCACGAUCCAUUGCAUCCAAAGCCAACGCCAAACUCCAAAGCAGUCUACUUCCAACUUUACCUAUUGCAUUUCCACACUUUUGAAACCAAAGCUAGCAGCCGUGGCAGCCACCACCACCAUCUCCGAUGAUCCUAUGCUGCCCCUUCCUCACCCUCUCUCCCUGUCCUUUGGCUAUCACCUUCCCCCUCCCCAUUCAUCAUGAUCGUUGCUCA
rnacentral:lncRNA from 1 species